rnacentral:lncRNA from 1 species
CUGCAAGUGCUGCAGGGCUGCCCUGGCUGUCACAGCAGAGGAUAAGACUCCAGUGGUCGCCAGCAGGACACCUGGGAAGGUUCUCACUUCAUGCAGGCACAGAGAGAAGAGGAUUUUCAGACAUAUUUUUCCUCCCUUUUUCUGUAGAAAUGAAGACAGACAUUGACUAACAUUUGUUCAAGGCCAUCUAUGUGAAACGUAUCCAAAACAUCUUUGCAAAGCAAAGGUAAGAACAAACUUCUAUAAACAAUACCAUGAGUACAAAUUGUGCCCUUCUUUCAAUUACAUUCAUU